CCUACGGGGGGCAGCAGUCGAGAAUCAUUCACAAUGGGGGAAACCCUGAUGGGGCGACGCCGCGUGGGGGAAUGAAGGUCUGCGGAUUGUAAACCCCUGUCAUGUGGGAGCAAAUUAAAAAGAUAGUACCACAAGAGGAAGAGACGGCUAACUCUGUGCCAGCAGCCGCGGUAAUACAGAGGUCUCCAGCGUUGUUCGGAAUCACUGGGCGUAAAGGGUGCGUAGGCUGUUUCGUAAGUCGUGUGUGAAAGGCGCGGGCUCAACCCGCGGACGGCACAUGAUACUGCGAGACUAGAGUAAGGGAGGGGGAACCGGAAUUCUCGGUGUAGCCGUGAAAUGCGUAGAUAUCGAGAGGAACACUCGUGGCGAAGGCGGGUUCCUGGACAUUAACUGACGCUGAGGCACGAAAGCCAGGGGAGCGAAAAGGAUUAGAUACCCGUGUAGUC
rnacentral:rRNA from 1 species